UGAAAAAAUUGUCUCAUUUAGCAAAUUCCGGAUGUGUCUCCUACUGGUCGGUGGACCACACUGGUGCCGCUGCUCUUCAUCCUGAUGGUGGCUGCUGUCAAGGAGUUCAUUGAGGAUCUGAAACGUCACAACGCAGACAGUGUUGUCAACAAAAAGGAAUGUCAAGUACUGAGGAAUGGUGCCUGGGAGAUUGUGCACUGGGAAAAGGUGGCUGUUGGGGAAGUAGUCAGAGCUGCAAAUGGGGAUCACCUCCCGGCUGACCUCGUCAUACUGUCGUCCAGUGAACCACAGGGUAUGUGCUACAUUGAAACAUCUAACUUGGAUGGAGAAACAAACCUUAAAAUUAGACAGGGUCUCCAAAUAACUGCAGACAUAAAGGACAUUGACAGCCUGAUGCGUCUCUCUGGGCGGAUGGAGUGUGAGAGCCCAAACCGCCAUCUGUAUGAGUUUGUUGGGAACAUCCGCCUUGAUGGACACAGUACAAUGCCGCUGGGUCCAGACCAGAUCUUACUGAGAGGAGCCCAGCUGAGGAACACUCAGUGGGUGCAUGGUGUGGUGGUCUACACUGGACAUGACACAAAGCUCAUGCAGAAUUCCACUCGGCCUCCUCUGAAGCUGUCCAACGUUGAGCGGAUCACCAACUUUCAGAUCCUUGUGCUGUUUGGUUGCCUGCUGGCCAUCUCUCUGGUCUGCUCCAUUGGCCAAACCAUCUGGAAGUACCAAUACGGCAAUGAUGCCUGGUACAUGGAUCUCAACUCUCCAGAUGGCGGGGCGGCUAACUUUGGCCUCAACUUCCUCACCUUCAUCAUCCUGUUCAACAAUCUGAUCCCCAUCAGUCUCCUGGUCACACUGGAGGUUAUCAAGUUCAUCCAAGCCUUUUUCAUCAACUGGGACACCGAUAUGCUCUAUGAGCCCACGAACACACCUGCCAUGGCUCGCACCUCCAAUCUGAAUGAAGAACUAGGCCAGGUAAAAUACAUUUUCUCGGACAAGACGGGGACCCUGACCUGCAACGUGAUGCAGUUUAAGAAGUGCACCAUUGCUGGUGUGGCCUAUGGCCACGUCCCUGAGGCUGAGGAGGGUAGUUUUGCAGAGGACGACUGUCACAGCACACACUCAUCAGAGGAGGAGGGAUUUAAUGACCUGAGCUUACUGGAAAACCUCCAAAGUAAUCACCCUACAGCUGCUGUCAUCCUGGACUUUAUGACCAUGAUGGCCAUCUGUCACACUGCAGUCCCUGAGCGCACGGAUGGAAAAAUCACCUACCAGGCUGCAUCUCCAGAUGAAGGAGCUCUGGUGAGAGCAGCACAGAACCUUGGCUUUGUGUUUUCUGGUAGAACCCCGGACAGCGUCAUUGUGGAAAUGCCUGGAACAGAGGAGAGAUACGAACUACUUCAUGUGCUGGAGUUUACAAGCACGAGGAAGAGGAUGUCAGUCAUCAUGCGCACCCCAUCUGGGAAGAUCCGCCUCUACUGCAAAGGAGCUGACACAGUGAUCUAUGACCGACUGGCAGACAGCUCUAGGUACAAAGAGAUCACAUUGAAGCACUUGGAACAGUUUGCAACAGAGGGCCUGCGCACUCUGUGCUUUGCAGCAACAGACGUCAGUGAGUCGUCCUAUCAGCAAUGGCUGGAGAUCUAUCGCAGAGCUUGCACCUCCCUGCAGAACAGAUCUUUGAAACUGGAGGAGAGUUACGAACUGAUAGAAAAGAACCUCCAGCUCUUGGGGGCCACAGCGAUAGAGGACAAGCUCCAGGAUAAGGUGCCCGAGACCAUAGAGACUCUAAUGAAGGCAGACAUCAAGAUCUGGAUCCUGACAGGGGACAAACAGGAAACAGCCAUUAACAUUGGACAUUCCUGCAAACUACUGACCAAGAACAUGGGCAUGCUUGUGAUCAAUGAAGACACCCUUGAUAGAACAAGGGAAGCACUCAGCCACCACUGUGGAAUGCUGGGAGAUGCCCUCUACAAGGAGAACGACUUUGCUCUCAUUAUUGACGGGAAGACUCUCAAAUACGCCCUUGCAUUUGGAGUGCGACAGUACUUCCUGGACCUCGCCCUGUCCUGUAAAGCUGUCAUAUGUUGCAGAGUAUCUCCUCUUCAGAAGUCAGAGGUGGUGGAGAUGGUAAAGAAACAGGUGAAGGUGAUCACGCUGGCCAUUGGUGAUGGUGCUAACGACGUGGGAAUGAUCCAGACGGCUCACGUCGGUGUGGGAAUCUCCGGCAACGAAGGUCUGCAAGCAGCAAACUCCUCUGACUACUCCAUUGCCCAGUUCAAAUACUUGAAAAAUCUGCUGCUCGUCCACGGAGCCUGGAAUUACAACCGUGUAGCCAAGUGUAUCCUGUACUGCUUCUACAAGAAUAUUGUCCUCUAUAUCAUUGAGAUCUGGUUUGCGUUUGUCAAUGGCUUCUCAGGCCAGAUCCUGUUUGAACGCUGGUGCAUUGGUUUAUACAACGUGAUCUUUACCGCUCUGCCGCCUCUCACUUUGGGAAUAUUUGAGCGCUCCUGUAGAAAAGAGAAUAUGCUGAAAUACCCAGAACUCUACAAAACCUCCCAGAAUGCAAUGGGCUUUAAUACCAAGGUCUUCUGGGCCCAUUGUCUGAAUGGCCUCUUCCACUCCGUCAUCCUCUUCUGGUUCCCCCUUAAAGCCUUCCAGCAUGAUACAGUUUUUGGCAACGGAAGAACUCCAGACUAUCUCCUCUUAGGCAACAUGGUUUACACAUUUGUGGUCAUCACAGUUUGUCUUAAAGCCGGCCUUGAGACCUCAUCCUGGACCAUGUUUAGUCACAUCGCCAUCUGGGGAAGCAUCGGCCUGUGGGUGGUGUUUUUCAUUAUCUACUCCUCCCUGUGGCCCCUCAUUCCUCUGGCUCCCGACAUGUCAGGAGAGGCGGACAUGAUGUUCUGUUCGGGGGUCUUCUGGAUGGGCCUGGUUUUCAUCCCAGUCACCUCGCUGGUCUUUGACGUUACCUACAAAGUGGUGAAGAAGGUGUGUUUCAAGACUCUGGUGGAUGAAGUGCAGGAGCUGGAGGCUUUAUCCAAAGACCCUGGAGCAGUGGUGCAUGGAAAGAGUUUGACGGAGAGGGCCCAGCUCCUAAAGAACGUCUUCAAGAAGAGCACAGUCAGUUUGUACCGGUCUGACUCCAUGCAGCAGAACCUGCUCCGUCGGGAUGAGACGGUUGUUGUGUGAUACUUUUUUUAUUUUUUUAUUAAAUCAUUCAUAAUUCAAACCUCACCCCGUUUAAAACUGCCAGCCUCCUCUAGCUCCCUGAUAGAUGCCUCUCUCUUUCUGGUUGUUGACGUCCUGUCCUUCCCCUCGUGUGCCCCGUGGUGUGUCCUGAGUUGAGAUCAAUAGAGCGAGAUUAAGAUGAUAUGAUGAAAUAUUGCGCUGUUAUUCCCCACAAUGCACUCAUCUCAGCGGGGUCCUAUAAACUUCCCGCUGGCCUCCAGGUACUGACCGAGUCAUUUGACACCUGAAGAUGGCUACGCCUUCUCUCAAGACGAGAACGGAGUGGUGUCUCAGUCGGAUGUCAUCCGAGCAUACGACACCACCAAACAGAGGACCGACGAGUGGUGAGCCGCCGGCCCUCUGGUCGGCCAAUCGGGUGCCACAACAGCCGUUUCUAUUGGCGAUAUUUGAAGCUUGUGAGUGUGUGCCUCCAGCACUGAGGGCAUUUUUGGAGGUGGACAGAGUGUCUUUGAAAAAGGGAAAAAAAACAAGGAACAAAACAAAUUGUGUUCACUAUCAGCUGUAGUAUUUUGUCCAGCAGACAUGAUGAGCACUGUGCUUUCUUAGCAGUCUGUGGUCUGAAGUUCCACACUGUUCUUGCUCAGUUUGUUGAUGUGAACGUCUCCUCUAUUGAAAAUUAUCUAAAUCACUACAAUAUUUAAAAUCAAACUCCUAAACACUGUUAUUAAAGAAGUAACACUGGACUAUGAUAAGUUUUAGAUGACUUGAACAUGUAAAAGAUUGCCAAAAAGCAGUCGUAUAUACAUUCUCCCAAAUACUAGUGAAAUUCGGAAAACUAUGAACCAAAUGUAAUCACACUCCUGAGUGUAUUCCAGCACUAAACGGACCACAUUGUAAUAUUUUCUUUUGCACUUAAGGAUGCAUCUAUUGUGUAAAGCCUUACAUUUGCUCAUGCCUUCAUUCGUGUUUCUUUCAAAAUGUUCUUUUUUUUUUUUUUUUAAGUAUAUAGAUAUCGUCCCUGGUUUAAUUUAUUUUUUUCCUUUUUUAUUUUUUGUUUAUGAGUCGCCUCUUGCGACUCACCGUGGUCCUGUUUCCACCGUUUUAACAGCAGACUCAUUGCUCUCGACAAAUAAUUGCAUUCCACACAUCACUCCUGUCUCAACAAUCACAAUGGUGCCUAUGUAGAACCUUUCCUUCAUAGAAGACAAAGAUAGCCAAGAAUAGUUUAGCCAGCUAGCUUAGACCAGUGCUCCACACACACCUACUGAAGACAAAAUCCGUCUCCCCACCACAGGUUCGCACUUUUACAAUGUGAAAACAACCGAGUGCAUGUGGCACACGUAUAAACUAAGAUUUGUUCCUGCAGAAGUGAACGGGAGGCUCUCUGAUGGUCUUGUUGGAGCUUACAGUGGUGAUAGUGUUUCCCUUCAAAUUUAGCUUUUAUCCUUCUAACAUAAGUGCCAUUAGCUUAAGGGAGAGAGAAAUAUUAGGCAGGAAAACUCCACGACAAUAUCGAAACUACUUUGUCUCUAUAGUUAUUUUGUGGAUUUGUAUUUUUAUAUUGGAAAUGUAUGAAUUUUGCAUUGACUGGCUUUGUAUUGAACUGUCUGUAACUUUUAGUUUUAUCUUCUUCAUCUGAAAAACGGGAAGGAUAGAGUAGAUCGAAUGAGGAAACUGAGCUUUCUUACAUGUCUUGUCAUUAUUAAUAUGAAUAUUGUUGCUUGUUUUAUUUAUAAUUGACUACUUAAUGUCUGUGUGAUUGCUUUCUUCUCCCUGUGGGAGAUCAAAUCUCUGACGGUGUGUUCGAGUGUGUGUCAGUUGCAUGUGCAUGUGCUGUGUGUGCGUGCGUGUGUGUGUGUGUUACACCUCUACUGUUGAUAACGUCUAUUUAUGCAUUGCAUGUCUGUGUCCUCUGUGAGACUGGGAGUUUCUGGUGUCUCCUGGUGUGUGCGUGUGUGUGUCUGUGUGCGUGUGUGUCUGUGUGUAUGUGUGUGUGUGUGUGUGUGUGUGUGUGUGGGGGGGGCUUUCUCCAGUUGUCCGUCUGCACUACUUCAGAUAUAGCUAUGUUGUACUACUGUGUGCUGAUGCAUGGCCCGUAUGGGAAAAGUAUGAGCAUUAGUGUGUGUGCGUGCGUGUGCGUGUGUGUGUGUGUUCCAACUCUCGACCUCGACUGUGGGAGUUUCUGAUGCUCAGCUCGCUUCGACGGGAGAUGUUGCACAAUGUACUCGAUGUACCUUUCCAGUAUUGGACAUCUGGUAUUGUCUGAUUUGAGUAUUUGGUUUCUCUUGAGUGUACAUGUUUGUAACUUGUUUUCUUUAUGUAGUGUACUUCUGCUUUGCAGGAAAGCUCUUUAGUGAGGGUUAGUGAUUAUUUUUCUCUGCUGGUCUUUAGUGUUAAAACUUAAUUGGUCGUCAUCUUGUCAAAAGUUUCCAAACCGCUGAAUGUGGAUGUCGUCGUUGUGAAAGGCUUGGACUGUUGCUUUUUUUUUCUUUCAGAAAACAUCAAAAACACGUUGUUGUCUGUGAAAGUCGUGGGCUGCAUGAAUGGAUAACACAAACUGUUCUCUGAAAUAUUUAACUGUACUACUUUGAUUCUCCCUCAAGUGUUGAUCACUUUACAAAAGAGAAAAAAAACGCACUUUUAACUUUUACUUUUUAAUAUUUGUUUCUUUUCCGUCAUUUUGUUUGAUGAUUGUUCUGCAUGUUGGGACUGCAAACUUAUAAGUGUUGUCUUUUACUGCCAUGAAGGACUACUGAAAUAAACUUUACAACCAUGGAGGAACAA